AGCUUCCCCACCCCCUGCCAGCUGGGCCGUGCCUGUGCUGGUGGCAUUCGCUGGCCACAAGCCCACCCUCUGAGGCUUGGAAUUCAGGUCAGACCCCUGCAGUGUUGUCUGGUCCUCUUUCUCAAGGUGAUAGGGUGAUGCGGACACCCUCUACGAUGGUGUGAACCAACCCAACCUUCAACAACAUCACAUUGGUGACUGGACCCCAGCCAUGGUGGGAAUUUUGACACCACAGAAAUGGGUCAGUUCCACACAUCUCAGAGAACUGGUUGUUAAACAUUUUCCAGCUUCCCAUUCAAUUCAUCUGUGACCUCCUGCCUUGGCACACAGCAGGGGUCAGUGGAGGGCUGCCCAACAAGAGGGGAGAAAGAAUUAUCUGCUUCCAACACCUGCCACUAUUGCUGACUCUGGCCGCUGCCCCGUUUUCCUCUCAGGGCUCUCAGGGAGGAAGGCACAGGCAAGACCUAGGGCGGGGGCCUGCAUCUUCGGGCACUGGGGCAGAGGGGUGCCAUAUUGCCCAAGACAGGGCUGAGGGGCCCCAGAGAGUCGGCAGGUGUGGGCGGCCUUGGCAGAGCUCAUGGAGAACUGGGCCCGGAGGAGAUCCUGCUGUUCCCUCUCCCAAACGGUCCAUGGCAAUGUGCCACCUUCCUGCACGCCUUCCAGCCUGCGCAGUGAGCUGGCUUCAGAGAGGGUGUCUGAAGUCCCCCCUCCAGCAGCACUUUGGGUAAGAGCUGGUCCUUCAGGUUCUUUCUUUAAAGUGGCAUUCCUGGACUUCCUUGGUGGAGCAGUGGAUAACAGUCCAUCUGCCAGUGCAGAGGACACAGGUUCGAUCCCUGGUCCGGGAAGAUCCCACGUGCUGUGGAGCAACCCGUGCACCACAACCACUGAUUUCGCGCUCUAGAGAAUGUGAGUUUCAACUACUGAGCCCGAGUGUCUCAGCUACUGAAGCCUGUGCACCUAGAGCCUGUGCUCCACAACCUCUGCUAGCCACAGCUAGAGAAAGCCCACACAAAAGCAACGAAGACCCCAGUGCAG
ensembl:lncRNA